CCUACGGGUGGCAGCAGUAAGGGAUAUUGGUCAAUGGGGGAAACCCUGAACCAGCAACGCCGCGUGAGGGAAGACGGUUUUCGGAUUGUAAACCUCUGUCCUCUGUGAAGAUGAUGACGGUAGCAGAGGAGGAAGCUCCGGCUAACUACGUUCCAGCCGCCGCGGUAAUACGUAGGGAGCGAGCGUUAUCCGGAUUUAUUGGGUUUAAAGGGUGCGUAGGCGGGAUGCCAAGUCAGCGGUAAAAAUGCGGUGCUCAACGCCGUCGAGCCGUUGAAACUGGCGUUCUUGAGUGGGCGAGAAGUAGGCGGAAUGCGUGGUGUAGCGGUGAAAUGCAUAGAUAUCACGCAGAACUCCGAUUGCGAAGGCAGCAUACCGGAGCCCUACUGACGCUGAGGCACGAAAGCGUGGGUAUCGAACAGGAUUAGAUACCCUGGUAGUC
rnacentral:rRNA from 1 species